rnacentral:rRNA from 1 species
UACGGAGGGUGCAAGCGUUGUCCGGAAUCACUGGGCGUAAAGGGCGCGUAGGCGGCUCAUGAAGGCUGUGGUGAAAGUCCGGGGCUCAACCUCGGAUCGGCCGUGGCGACUCGUGGGCUGGAGCACUGUAGAGGCGGGUGGAAUUCCGGGUGUAGCGGUGGAAUGCGUAGAGAUCCGGAAGAACACCAGUGGCGAAGGCGGACCCGCUGGGGCGCCCUGGACGCUGAGGCGCGAGAGCGUGGGGAGCAAACCGG